rnacentral:lncRNA from 1 species
UGCCAACCUGGACUCAUAAUUUUUUACUAAUGGACAAAUUACAUUUUGUACUCUUUCACUCUAAUGCAAAAAGAAACAGACACAGAGAGAGAGAUAGAAAUAGUGACAUAAAUGGCCCAGAUAAUGCUAGAAAACCCCAUUUUAUGAGAAACCUUCACAAAAUCAACAGUUUCCAGAUGGUGUUUCAUAGAGAUCUAAGGAGCCAGGUAACAUCCUCUGAAGCAAGGGAAUUAGGAGAUAAAGAGAGGCUGGAGGAGCACAGUGGACGUUCGACCUCAGACUUUGACUUGCCUCAACCUACUUUACAAUUUAGGCCUCAACUAAAGACAAAAUGUGAAGAUGCUUUGCCUUACAGUACAUGGGAUGGAUCCUCCUUGUAUGAACAAG